rnacentral:lncRNA from 10 species
AGGACGACCCCGGUGGUCUGGAGGGUGGCAGGGAUCAGGUUCUGUCUGAGCCCCCGAGUUGUUUAUCUUUGUACCUCUGGAGCAACAGCCAGCCAAAGGCUCGUAGAUUUUCUUUCCCUAGGCCCAGCAAGUGAGCCAAUAGCUUUUGGUUUUUACUUUCUUAUUCCUGGUAAAUCCGCAGUUUUUUUGCACUUAGGUCCUAGGGUAGUAAACGUUGAUUGAAACAAAAGAACCCUUGGAUCAAUUCGCCGUCUUCUAAAGAAAAGUCUCUAAAAAAUGAGUUCUUCUAGUCUUGAAAACAGCCUGACAACUAUUCAAAUAUGUAAUUUAAAAUCCCCUUACCUCCUUGAAAGUGUUGUCACUAUUUAGUACGUUUAUCCAAUAGUGUUAAGAUGAGCGUGUCUACCCAAAUUCGGUGCAGAGCUCUUAGGCAAUGUAAAUAAACUACUUUGAAGAUUCAUGUGUUCAUAUGAAGCCACAUACUGUUUAUUAACCAGCACACUGAGUGUUUUGUACAAGCUGUUCUUGAAUAAUCAAGUAAUUGGGCCACACAGGCUUGGAUGUACACCAGGAGAUAUCCAGCUCAUGUUACAGUUAACUGAUGUAAAGGUGCUGGGAAUACUCACUGAACAAAGCAAGUAUGGCAUGAGCUUUUAUUUGCCUACAGUCUUAAGGGAAAGACAAAGGCUAUCUUUGUGCAGUGAAUUAAGAAAGGGAAAUGCUGUAUGCCAGGAAGGGGUCUACAAUACACCAUUGUGGCCUAAAAAUUAUUUUGAGCAAAGACAUUUGAGUUUCUGAAAUCUACCUGUCUAAAUGCAGAACCACACGGAGGAAUUCAAAUCAAGCUCCUCCCUGGGAGGGAAACCCAGGAAGACUGACUCUUAUCACUGGAGGUUAGAAGCUGGCAACACACUUGAAUAGACAUUGUCACAAAGCUAUCAUAUCUGGCAUCUGUUUUAAGGUGUCAUUUAUUUUUACUAAAAGUCAUUUGUUUUUUCCAUACGUGCUGUUUUCCCCUUUCCUUCCCUUUAUAAGAUGGUAGAUAAGUCAGAACUCUACCUCCCUGAAUCACCUUUUUCUGUGAACUCUAUUAUGUAUGUGGUUAAGUCUGUCUUUUCUUUUGCUAAUCUGUUUUGUCACUUUAAGUCUGGGGCCUGCAAACACUGAAUCUAAGAAAGUAGACAAAAAGUAUUUCCUCCCUAAGAGCCAAGAGAUACUACAGCAA